rnacentral:rRNA from 1 species
AGUGAACGCUGGCGGUAGGCCUAACACAUGCAAGUCGAACGGCAGCACAGUAAGAGCUUGCUCUUACGGGUGGCGAGUGGCGGACGGGUGAGGAAUACAUCGGAAUCUACUUUUUCGUGGGGGAUAACGUAGGGAAACUUACGCUAACACCGCAUACGACCUACGGGUGAAAGCAGGGGAUCUUCGGACCUUGCGCGAUUGAAUGAGCCGAUGUCGGAUUAGCUAGUUGGCGGGGUAAAGGCCCACCAAGGCGACGAUCCGUAGCUGGUCUGAGAGGAUGAUCAGCCACACUGGAACUGAGGCACGGUCCAGACUCCUACGGGAGGCAGCAGUGGGGAAUAUUGGACAAUGGGCGCAAGCCUGAUCCAGCCAUACCGCGUGGGUGAAGAAGGCCUUCGGGUUGUAAAGCCCUUUUGUUGGGAAAGAAAAGCAGCAGGUUAAUACCCCGCUGUUCUGACGGUACCCAAAGAAUAAGCACCGGCUAACUUCGUG